rnacentral:misc_RNA from 1 species
CUUGGAAGCUGUUGAUGGAACCGAGGGCCUUCAUCAAAUCCUUCACAGAUUAUCUCUCCACUAUCAUCCCUGUAACAAAUUAUGCCCUCGGAUUGAUUCUCAAAGACCUUGUCUUUGAAAGAUGAUCUGACUUGAAGUGCAGGGGCUUUCUUUAGUGGAAAUUGAGUGAGUUUAAGCAUCUUAGUUUUGCUUCUAGGCUUUAUAAUUGGACCAGAAUUUUGAACUACGACCAGAGAAGAAAAGCUUGCUACAGCCAUUGAUCGAUAUGCAACAAGAAGGAGAAGAAGAAAGAAAUGGAAUUAAAAAAAGGCUUGUUUGAUCUUUGAUGGG